GUCUUCUUGUAGUUUCACUUCAAGAUUUUAAGUCCUUCUAGCUUCCCAUUUUUCUAUAUAUACUCACAAUUUAAGCAUCCUCUCCACACCCUAAUAUCACUAGGCAAUAUCAUUCUUAAUUAACAAAAAUGAAGUACAAUCGCAUCAGCUUUUAUCAUCGCCUAGUCUUCUUUGUUCUUGCUCUUCUUAUAGGUGGUGCAAUGGUUGAUUCACAGAAAUGCAACCCAAGCGGGAAAGUGAAGGGAAAGAAACCUCCAAAAGGUGAAUGUAACCAGGAUAAUAGUGCUGAUUGCUGCAAGGAAGGAGUGUAUUACACCACCCAUAAGUGUUCACCGCUGGCAUCUAAGCAUACAAAGGCGAUUUUAACCAUCAACAGCUUUGAAGAGGGCGGAGAUGGUGGCGCACCAGCAUAUUGUGAUGGCAAGUACCAUGAUGAUGACACACCUGUGGGAGCCUUGUCGACAGGAUAGUUCAAUAACAAGAGGUGCAAUAAUUACAUUAAUAUUCAUGGGAAUGGAAGGAGUGUCAAGGCUGUGGUGGCGGAUGAAUGUGGCUCUAACAUGGGACGUCAUGGUGAUCAUAGUUACCAGCCACCGUGCCCAGAUAACAUUGUUGAUGUCUCGAAAGCAGUUUGGAAGGCGCUAGGCAUUAAAGAAAGCGAUGAUCGAUGGGGAUGGAUGAAUGUCACCUGGUCUGAUGCUUGAUUUCCAUUAUGUUCUUGCGCUCUCUACAAGAAUGUUUGAUGCUGCCUCAAUAAAGUUCUAUUUUGAACCAUUUACACUUCCUCGAGACUCAAAGGUGAAGUUGU
rnacentral:misc_RNA from 1 species